GUCUACAGCCAUACCACCCUGAACAUGCCCAAUCUCAUCUAAUCUCGGAAGCUAAGCUGGGUUGGGCCUGGUUAGUACUUGGAUGGGAGGAUUAUGAUGGUUACCUUCUAAACAGAAAGCAUUCUCCAGGUAGACC
ensembl:rRNA 5S_rRNA 5S ribosomal RNA